CCUCCAUGUUACACAUCCCAUAAUAACUCCAGUAUUCUCUGUACACAGUAGCUGCAGAUUGGGUGGUAGGGGUAUAGGAGUGUUGAUAGAGCGUCCAAUAGAAACACAUCCCACAGAUUUACUAUAAUCAGAUGAUACAGUGGAUCAUCUUCAGUAAUGAGUUACUGAGUUACUCUACAGUCCUGCUGUUCUGAUGUAACAGUCAGUGCUGUGAUUCUCCACUAGAGGUCAGUAUAAACUGUUAAUAACACAGAAAUCCUCUGUUCUUACAGCUGAAGCUCCGCCCCUUCCGCCACGCCCACCCUUCUUACCGAAAUGCCCGGAGUACGUAUUAGUGCGCCCUGUUUCCGGCCGGGACCACCUCCCCGCCAGCAGCGCUCCGGCUACUGAAGGAGAGUCUGAGGGUCAGCUGCUGCCUGGAAACCCGAACGUGUUGCUGGUUAAUCUGGGGAAGCUGGUGAUGGAGGAGCCGGGUGAGCCUGUGCUGGGAGAGCCGACGUCCUGUUUUGGAUGUGGAUCCGUGUUGGAGUCCAGCUACGAUAACAUGGUAAAAGAAUGUUAUUUCUGUCAGUCUUGGAGCCCCGCCCCUUCCUCUCCUAUAGACCCGCCCACUGGUUGUGAGGACUGCCUCUUCCAGUUGAGUCCUGGGAUCAGAGGCUCCUCAGCGGACAGUAACCUGCUCAUCUUCUGUAUCUCUACCUCACACUCCAUGAGUACCAGUACUCAGGUUGUAAAACAGAAAAGUGCUACACACAGGUCCCGCCUCCACUGUGUACAGGAGGCUGUACUACAGUGUGUUCAGGUUUUGAGUGAAAAGCUUCCAGAGACUCGUGUUGGUCUUGUGACUUUCGGUGAAAAGGCUGGAGGAGUGCGGAGCGUCCGCCCUCGGACCUGCUGUCCUCGUCUCCAUAACGAUGGCCUCCAACCACCCUGGGUCAAAGGUCAGCGGAGGGUUUAAAAGUAUUUUUUGGAAGCAGCUUAUGGCACCUUACAUAUAUUUCAGUUAUAA
rnacentral:lncRNA from 1 species